GCGUAAAUGGUUUAGUGGUAAAAUCCAUCGUUGCCAAUCAGAUUCAAUCUGAGUUCGACUCGAUGGGCCCCCGGUUCGAUUCCGGGUUUACGCA